rnacentral:rRNA from 1 species
CGGGUACUUUAGUGGCGAACGGGUGAGUAAUACAUAGGUAACCUACCCUUAAGACGAGGAUAGCCAUUGGAAACGAUUGAUAAAACUGGAUAGGAUAUAGAGGAAGAAUCUUUUAUAUUUAAAAGAGAGAUCUGCUUAAGGAGGGGCCUGUGGCGCAUUAGCUAGUUGGUGGGGUAAGGGCCUACCAAGGCGAUGAUGCGUAGCCGGACUGAGAGGUUGAACGGCCACAAUGGAACUGAGAACGGUCCAUACUCCUACGGAAGGCAGCAG